AGUCUCCCUGGGAAACCGACGAGCGCACCUGAGCUGGGUUCUGAGCUCCAGCGUUUUGGGGCUAGAAGUUGCGGACUAGUAGCUGAGGCGGCACGGGAGUGUAGGCGCGCGGGGUCGUUGCCGGGGGCACAGAGUGAGAACAAGCAAGGGAGCCCUGCUGAAUUGCAGCUUAGGAAGCCCUGAAUCCUGGAGACGGAGUUUUGCUCUUGUUGCCCAGGCUGGAGUCCAAUGAUGCGAUCUCGGCUCACCGCAACCUCCGCCUUCAGGGUUCAAGCAAUUCUCCUGCCUCAGCCUCCCGAGUAGCUGGGAUUACAG
rnacentral:misc_RNA from 1 species